UACGAAGGGGGGCUAGCGUUGCUCGGAAUUACUGGGCGUAAAGGGAGCGUAGGCGGAUAGUUUAGUUCAGAGGUGAAAGCCCAGGGCUCAACCUUGGAAUUGCCUUUGAUACUGGCUAUCUUGAGUACGGAAGAGGUAUGUGGAACUCCGAGUGUAGAGGUGAAAUUCGUAGAUAUUCGGAAGAACACCAGUGGCGAAGGCGACAUACUGGUCGUUACUGACGCUGAGGCUCGAAAGCGUGGGGAGCAAACAGG
rnacentral:rRNA from 1 species